rnacentral:rRNA from 1 species
AAUGAACGCUGGCGGCAGGCUUAACACAUGCAAGUCGAGCGGAGAUGAGGUGCUUGCACCUUAUCUUAGCGGCGGACGGGUGUGUAAUGCUUAGGAAUCUGCCUAUUAGUGGGGGACAACAUUCCGAAAGGAAUGCUAAUACCGCAUACGCCCUACGGGGGAAAGCAGGGGAUCUUCGGACCUUGCGCUAAUAGAUGAGCCUAAGUCGGAUUAGCUAGUUGGUGGGGUAAAGGCCUACCAAGGCGACGAUCUGUAGCGGGUCUGAGAGGAUGAUCCGCCACACUGGGACGGAGAACCGGCCCAGACUCCUACGGGAGGCAGCAGUGGGGAAUAUUGGACAAUGGCGGAAGCCUGAUCCAGCCAUGCCGCGUGUGUGAAGAAGGCCUUUUGGUUGUAAAGCACUUUAAGCGAGGAGGAGGCUACCUGGAUUAAUACUCUAGGAUAGUGGACGUUACUCGCAGAAUAAGCACCGGCUAACUCUGUGCCAGCCGCCGCCGUAACAC